GCAGAGCUCAAGUGUACCAGUGAACUAGGGCCAUUCAUUCAAUAUCUCCAAGCUCCCAUUUCCUACCUGGCCAAUGGAGAUAAGAAUCUACUGUAUAGGAAGACACUUUCUCACUUUCUGACCUCCCCCCCCCCCACUAAGAGUUGUCCUUAGUAACUGUUACUGCUGUGGCAGCCAUCUAAGCUUUUGUCGUUCCACUUUUUAAGGAUGAAUUGUGACCACAUAAAUUCCCUCGAUUAUAAUUGCUGGCUCCAGGAAUCUAAACACGUUUUUAAGCUACAUUACCCAGUUGCCUUACAACCCACCCGACAUGCACACUCAGAAUGUGUAACCACAAGGAGAGCAGCUUUGCUUGCCUUCCCACCUCUCUUGACAGUCAGGGAUUGGGCUCACUGUCCCACAUGGUACUCCUGUGCAGCACUGGCUAACAGCAGAGCUAAAGCCACCUCAACAUUCUGGAUGCAGCCAGGUCAGAUUCAAAGCCUGCUCUAUAAUUUCUCCCAUCCUCUUCCCAGGGUAAGCAAACAGGGAAUCUUCAAGGCCAGAGGCUCCUUCCAACCAUCUCCUUCACAGCCAGGGCUUCCAAGCAAAGACUCCACAGUGCCCCAGUGGACAAGGUGCCAAUGAAGAUUUGCUGAGAGCAGACAGCGAGGCCUGGGAUAGGGCUGGAAGCUCAUUUCACACUGGAAGAAGAUAUCAGAACUGCCAUUUCAAAAGAACCGAAGACAAAGCCACCCUAUCAAACCCCAGACCUUCCUGCUAGUUAACAAAACAUUAACCAGGCCCCUGAAGCCCCUGAAGUCCUCCUGACCAAGCUCCCCUUAAGUUAAAAGCUUAAAACGAAGAAGACAAGAAGAGGAAGAGGAGGAGGAGGAACAGGAAGAGGAAGUGGGCUCUGCCACACUGGCGCUACCAUGAGCCCUGAACUCCCUGCUACAGUAAACUGCUAGAAGACUUCCCCACACAUAUAAGGCAUGAUUAAAUGGAAGGCCGGGCAGUAACUGA